rnacentral:rRNA from 14 species
GUUUGAUCCUGGCUCAGCCUGAACGCUGGCGGCAUGGCUAAAACAUGCAAGUCGAGGGAGAAGGGGGCUUCGGCCCCUGGACACCGGCGAAAGGGCGAGUAACGCGAUCGAACGUGCCCCGAGGUAGAGGAUAGCCGUGGGAAACUGCGGGUAAUACUCUAUAAGUUCCAAGGAAGAAAGCUCCGGCGCCUUGGGAGCGGCGAUCGUCCUAUCAGGUUGUUGGUGGGGUAAAGGCCUACCAAGCCGAAGACGGGUAGCGGGUGUGAGAGCAUGGCC